rnacentral:misc_RNA from 1 species
UUGAACUUUCGUCGUAGUCGCUUCAGUGCGCUCGACAACCAUUUCAUUUACACCUGUGAACUGUCCCUUUUUUAUAUACGCGAAUACAAGUCGAGUAUGUUGUCAUCUUUUGAUGUAAUGAUGUAAUAAUCGAAAAUA